rnacentral:rRNA from 1 species
CUACGGGGGGCACCAGUGAGGAAUAUUGCACAAUGGGGGAAACCCUGAUGCAGCAACGCCGCGUGGAGGAUGACGCAUUUCGGUGUGUAAACUCCUUUUAUCAGAGAAGAAAAUGACGGUAUCUGAUGAAUAAGCUCCGGCUAACUCCGUGCCAGCAGCCGCGGUAAUACGGAGGGAGCAAGCGUUAUUCGGAAUCACUGGGCGUAAAGGACGCGUAGGCGGGUUUUUAAGUCAGGUGUGAAAUCCUAUGGCUCAACCAUAGAACUGCACUUGAAACUGGGGACCUAGAGUAUGGAAGGGGCAGGUGGAAUUAGUGGUGUAGGGGUAAAAUCCGUAGAUAUCACUAGGAAUACCGAAAGCGAAGGCGACCUGCUGGGACAUUACUGACGCUGAGGCGUGAAAGCGUGGGGAGCAAACAGGAUUAGAUACCCGGGUAGUC